CAGUAGCCGCGGGAAUACAGAGGGUGCAAGCGUUAAUCGGAAUUACUGGGCGUAAAGCGCGCGUAGGUGGUUUGUUAAGUUGGAUGUGAAAUCCCAGGGCUCAACCUGGGAACUGCAUCCAAAACUGGCAAGCUAGAGUAUGGUAGAGGGUGGUGGAAUUUCCUGUGUAGCGGUGAAAUGCGUAGAUAUAGGAAGGAACACCAGUGGCGAAGGCGACCACCUGGACUGAUACUGACACUGAGGUGCGAAAGCGUGGGGAGCAAACAGGAUUAGAUACCCCCGUAGUCCCUGUCUCUUAUAC
rnacentral:rRNA from 1 species